AGACUAUUUUUAAGGAUAUUUAAAGCUUUUUUUAAUAAUCUUCAGCUAAAAAAAACCAAAAAAAGAUCCCCCAAAAAACCACAGUUUAUUUUUUAAAGAAAUGUGUUGCCAAAAGCAAAAUAGGUUAGGAAGGAAAACAGGGAGGAAGCAAUGUUUUAUUAUGUACUGAGAUUAAUUUUGUGUGGCACCAAGGAGCACGUAAGCCCCAAAGACUGGUUCUGGGAGCUUGGAACCAAGUACAAUGGAGGGAGUGGAAGAAAGAUUAUGUAGCUAAGAACCAAUGAAAAUGUACAUUUUGUACAUUACCAAAAAAGAUUCCUAUUCAUACUGUCUGAGCUGGAUUAUAUUUUGACAACUUUUCCUAUCUUAAAAUUACACAGAGAUGAAAAAGCAAACGGAAUCAAUCUUGCUCUAUG
rnacentral:lncRNA from 1 species